rnacentral:rRNA from 1 species
GACGACGCUGGCGGCGUGCCUAAUACAUGCAAGUAGGACGAGCGGCGGACGGGGGAGUAAUGUCGGGGCAGCUUGCUGAUGGGGGGGAAUAACUACUGGAGACGGCAGCUAAUACCGCAUACCAUCUGUGGUGCCCAGGUGGGAUUAGCUAGUUGGGGGGGUAAAGGCUCACCAAGGCGACGAUCCCUAGCUGGUCUGAGAGGAUGACCAGCCACACUGGAACUGAGACACGGUCCAGACUCCUACGGGAGGCAGCAGUGGGGAAUAUUGCACAAUGGGCGCAAGCCUGAUGCAGCCAUGCCGCGUGUAUGAAGAAGGCCUUCGGGUUGUAAAGUACUUUCAGCGGGGAGGCGUUACCCGCAGAAGAAGCACCGGCUAACUCCGUGCCAGCCGCCGCGGUAAUUC